UGCGUGGAGAGUGUAUCUCCCUGGGUGUGUAUGUGUGUCCACGCCUAUCAAGUGACCACAUAACUUUCUUUCCCUGGUGAUAUGAAGGCGUGGACGCUGCCAUAGUGAAAAACAAGCUGCCCUGUCACCCGUGACUCAGGAGAGCGGCAAGUCCUGGGGCUACUACAUGGGGCACUUCUACCCCCCGGCGCCCCCCAGCCUAAUCCAGUAAUCGCCCCCAUCCCCCGAGGACCCCGCCCCCCCUAUCCGCGAGCCGCACGGAGACACGGACGCAAGGGCACCCCUCACUGUCACUCUCUGCCAGGACGCACGAACACACACAUACGCGCAUACUCCACCAUCUGGAUGAGGGAGCACAACUGUGUGUGUGACGAGCUGCUCAAGAUUCACCCAAAUCUUGGGAUGACAACUGCCUCUACCAGACUGCCCGCCUUACUGUCAUCAUUGUCAUCACUGACAUCAAGGAACCACACACACGCUCUCUACCCAGUGCUGGAGGAGGUGAAUGAAAACGGCCGCCAGCUGAGGUUCCAGGGGCUCAACGCGUACCGCAGGAGGUUUAGCAUGCAGCCCUUCACCUCCUUCCUUGACCUGGCUGGUGACCCCAAACUGGCGGCUGACCUGGAGCACUUCUGCAGGGACAUAGAGGCUGUGGAGUACUAUGUCAGUCUUGUCACGGCACGCCCCGGCCCCUCGGUCACCCUGCCGUCCACGGUCAGUUUGGGAGGCCCCUGGAGUGUGAAGGGGCUCAUGGCUGCCCAUUUGCAGCCCUAAGUACUGGAAGUCCUCCACUUCUGGCAGCAAGGAAGGCUUUCAGGUCGUCAAGACAGCCACUCUGAAGAAACCCUUCUGCCUCAACAUGAAAACAGGCCGUUAGAAUGAGAAUGUCGCGUUCACAGUCUCUCCCUGGUACGUCCUGAGCUUCCGGGGCUGCGUUAGGGUACAUUCAUGCUACGGCUGCGUCUUCAGGUCCUCCCAGCCCAUCCUGGUGCACCCCGAGUCCCUGAAUGUGGGUUAGGGUGUCGGGGUGUGUGGCUGUUGCCUGGGAGGAAAUUGUGCCCGCUCUGAUGGUUGCCAUUACACUUUGAUCUGGGAGGUACGCGUUGGUUGUGUAAGAAAAAUUCCUCCAAUCUCACCUGUCCUUCUCUCCAGGUGACAGAGGCUUCUGAGUGACCCAUCCAUCCAGCCACUCAUCCACAUGACCCAUCCAUCCAGCCACUCAUCCACAUGACCCAUCCAUCCAGCCACUCAUCCACAUGACCCAUCCAGCCAUCCACCCGAGGCAAGCGCCGCCUCCGCCCCCUGUCAGGUAUGGAGGGGUUAGGGAAAGGACGCCGUGCCCCAGCAGCUGCCCCUGACUGGCCAGCUGACCCCCCUUGAUGUCUCCAGGGCCGUGGUGAGGCAGGAGAGGACUCGAGGGUGCUGUCACAAAAACCACUUCUUGUGCCGGGAGGAAGAGCUUUCGUGUGGCCCACUGUGCAAUCCCACGCUGCUGUACCACGGGUCAGAGAGUGAGAGAGUGGAGAAGAGGGAGCUGUUCAGAAGGGCUGUGGAAGUGGAAGGGUGCCCUGUCUGAGUCCUGCCUGUCACUAUGACAUCCUCUGAGGUCCCUGAACACCUUAGCCCCCAUGAACCAGCUGCUGCUGACCGGGACACCCUUGCAGAACAGCCUGGCAGAGCUCUGGCCCCCUCUGAACUUCCUGAUGCCAGAUAUUUUUGAUUCCCUCAAUGUGUGGGGAGAUGCAGGAGGAGGGAAGUGACGAGAGGAUUUUGAGGCAGGAACGGGAGGGCCAGGUCAUCUCCACUCUAAUAAAGGAAUUUUGGGGCAAGUGGAGAGGCCCAGAGAGAAAAAUAUUUGAAGGAUGCUUAAGUGAAGAUAAUAUUUAAAGGAUUUGUGGGAAAAGGAAAGUGGAUGAAAAGACGUUUGUCUCGUGCCAGCGAACGUCCUGUCUGCAGUCGGACUGGUGGUGCCGUGUUGCAGGCUGUGACGUCAGGAAGAGCCAAAUGGAGGGUGUCUACAGCCAGAACUUGCUGCUGCUGCUGUACAAGUGUCACAAGCCAGGUGCCACAGCACACACCAUGUCACCUGACUCCACCAGUGUAUUGUCUAGUCCAGGAUGCAUUGCUGUAUGAUUUGCAUGUCUAUUGCCAAUAAAUAAAUUUGUGACUAUUCUUAUAUAUGUGAAAAAAUAUAGAGUUUCCUAACAGUGUGGUAUAGUGUAAAAUAAAUUGUUUUGGUGGUAACAAUUCAUGCACAGAAGAAGAAGAAAAAAAAAAAAAAAAAAAAAAGCCAGGAUUAACCCACCCCAAAAAAAGUUUAAGAUACAAUUUGAACACAGAAACCCCAUCCGAGCGACACCGGAGUCGCUUGGACAGGGCUUCCUCGUGCAAAUUGUAUCUUAAACUUGCUUUUAAUAAACCAAGUUAAUCCUGGCUUUUUUUUUCACCUUAAGGGCAUGAACUGUACUCCAAGAAAGGUUGUUUAUUUGCAGAAGAUAUUAUUGACAUAGUACACAAGACGGUAUAUUGAAUUUUUAUUGUUUUAGUGUAUGACAAGUUAAUAAACACACAACAGGAUAAA